rnacentral:rRNA from 1 species
UACGUAGGGGGCAAGCGUUGUCCGGAUUUAUUGGGCGUAAAGAGCGUGUAGGCGGCUGGGUAGGUCCGCUGUGAAAACUCGAGGCUUAACCUCGAGACGUCGGUGGAAACCAUCCAGCUAGAGUCCGGAAGAGGAGAGUGGAAUUCCUGGUGUAGCGGUGAAAUGCGCAGAUAUCAGGAAGAACACCCGUGGCGAAAGCGGCGUCUCUGGGUGACGGUACUGACGCUGAGACGCGAAAGCGUGGGGAGCGAACAGG